rnacentral:rRNA from 1 species
CCUACGGGGUGCAGCAGUGGGGAAUAUUGGACAAUGGGCGAAAGCCUGAUCCAGCCAUGCCGCGUGUGUGAAGAAGGCCUUCGGGUUGUAAAGCACUUUCAGUGGGGAAGAAAGCCUUGGGGCUAAUACCCUCGAGGAAGGACAUCACCCACAGAAGAAGCACCGGCUAACUCCGUGCCAGCAGCCGCGGUAAUACGGAGGGUGCGAGCGUUAAUCGGAAUUACUGGGCGUAAAGCGCGCGUAGGCGGUCUGAUAAGCCGGUUGUGAAAGCCCCGGGCUCAACCUGGGAACGGCAUCCGGAACUGGCAGGCUAGAGUGCAGGAGAGGAAGGUAGAAUUCCCGGUGUAGCGGUGAAAUGCGUAGAGAUCGGGAGGAAUACCAGUGGCGAAGACGGCCUUCUGGACUGACACUGACGCUGAGGUGCGAAAGCGUGGGUAGCAAACAGGAUUAGAUACCCCAGUAGUC